UGAUAGCGUUGAAGCGUGAGGUUGCUGCGGGAAAAGGAAAAACCGCAGGUUUUCCGUGGAGCGAAUGUCAAGUUCUGAGAAACUGGCGACAA
rfam:Marvinbryantia formatexigens DSM 14469 B_formatexigens-1.0.1_Cont12.1, whole genome shotgun sequence.